AGUAGGUGGCGAUAAUGAGGUAUUUUUGUGAGGACUAGAGAGAAGAAGAAUAUUGCUGUCUUUGAGGAAGCUAGUAGCUACUGCUUCACACACUCGUUUUUGCUGGCAAACACCAUCUAAUCUUUUCAUUUCAACCUCUUUUUUGUUAGCAAGGACAAUACAGACAAAAGGACAGAAGCAGCAUUUAUGUAUUUUGUUAUGUAAUUCGGUAGAAUGGGAGUUAUUGAUCACAGAGCGAAUGGAGAACCUGGACGUAAUUCUGUUGAUGCCUGCCUGUGUGACUGGCGGGGAUGUAGGCAAAGAACGUGGAUCUAUGUAAGGAGGGCUUUGAUCAAGAGACCAUGUGCCAAAAAUCAACUGGAAAAGACGUCCGAGACCGGAGGCGAGGAAUUGGAUGGUCAGAAACCAGGCUGUUGGUGCUGCUGAGGCUGUUGGUUUUCCUGCUUCACUGGUGGAGGAAGUGCAGAGCAAAUUGUGCAGCGGUGGACUUCACUACUUGGAGAACAUGAAUGGAAAGAACACGGGGAUCAUCUAAGCCUGGAUGACUAACUGAAGAGGAAUUGGAUUCAACCCCAGUCCCAGCGUCUACAGGCAACCAUGGAGGAUAAAUGACUUCUGAAAGUUCUGCAGCAGUUGACUCAGUUCAAACAUACCGUUUCAAUACUGGCAUGUCUUUACAGGGGGCUCUGGAGGAAAAGAAGAGAGGAGAAACACGCAUCUGAUGACCAACCACAUUUUACA